AUCGGCUAGACUUUGAAAACUUGAACUCUAAUUGGUGUUAGUUUGAGGUUGUGUUUUUAUCUUGUUUUUUAGGGUGAAAUCAGAAAUUUUUGUUAGUGGUACCUUAAACUUUAAGAUUUGGUGAAUGAAUCAGAUUAGUACCUGACUAAACAAAAGUUAAAAGAGCAGGAGUAAAGUUAUGUUUAAACUGUAAGAGUAUUGGCAGGUUUUUAAAUUAUCUUUGGAGGUUGAGUAGUAAUUGAGAGCCCUCAUUAACAACUUUUACUGUGGGCGCAUGUAUGAUCGUUUAUUUUAUUCUCAAGGAUUGUAAUUUUAGACGGGUCUCUGUUAAAAUAGAUAGAUAUUUGGUGUAUGUAAAAGAUUUAAUUUGACCUACAAUAUAUUAUUUUGUGGAUACUCUUCUAGUAGGGGGUUGAGAGUGUAAAAGACAGUAAGUUUUUUUUUAUGUAGGACUGAAGUUUAUUUAAGAACGGUACAAAACAUC
rnacentral:rRNA from 1 species